UUUCUUAGGGAAUAAAUAAAUACAGAUAGAAAUAGUCCUUCCCAUGUUUUCCUGCUCUUCUGUCUUCAUAGGCAACAUUUGAAAACAAUGCUCUUAAAAAGAGAAUACCUCAGAGGUCCGCCUGGGACCUCAUGUAAGUAAAGUGAGAUGACAAAACUGGUGACGUGUGACUCCACACUCCAGUGACAGAGAAGAUAAUUAUAUUGAGGUCUUCAGAGUGAUUUAGAGGUGACCUGGAAUUUUCCAAGAGAGAAUGAAGUUAUAUUUGUGAAAAAGAGAGACACCCGGGGGGAGGGCAUGUUAUUUUAGCCACAUAUUCUUAUAUAUAUCCUACAUAACUUAAAAAAGUAUGACUUUCAAGAGGACAAUAAAAAAGAAAUUAUAGUAAUCAAGAUGGGAAAUUAUUAAGGGUUUGGGAAAAAAUUUUCAGCCGAGAAGCAAUGUGAAGAUUAAGUAUAAAUUCUAACAGUCUGGUUGACAAGUUGAUGAGCACAUUUACAGAUGAGAACUGUACAAGGAACAAAAGGAUGACUCAACAGUUUUGUGUAAGAGCCAACAUUAGGUUAGGUUUGUAUUAGAAAGAAUCAAAGUGGAAUUUGAGCAGAGAAGUGUCUGAAAGAAGGAGAAAAGCAGUGUUUUGCCAGAGUUUCCUUCUGAGGCUUCCCUGCAGAUGGACACGCUUUUCUUUCAUGGUUGCGUGUUUGUGGGGUGGCCAGGGGCUUUCUGUAUCUGACUUUUCUUUUACUGUUGAAAGAAAUAACCAGAGAAAUCAGAUAAGAGAGAGAUCAUUUCUGAAGUUAAUCUAAAUAGAUACCUUUUUUAUUUGGCCUGUUGUGGGUCAUAAAUUUGAUCGGAUAAUAUAAAGACAGCUCUCUUCAAACAGAGACGAUCACCAUUAACUUCUGUCUGGGAGAAGCGGGUGGCACUCCUUGCUGGGCCAGGGCUGGAGAAGCACUGGAUCUGUGGUCUGGACAGGCAGCUUCAGGUCUAAGCCUGUCAUUCAGCAGCUCUUCGAGUCUGAGUGAGACCCUUAAUGACUUUAGGCAGAAAGCUAGAUGGUCGGAAAUAUGGAUGAGGGGCUCUUUUAUCCACCAUUAAACUAUGAAGAGUGGUGGGGACUUGACAAACUCAGCUGAGUGCCCAAUUAAAGCGUGUAGUUUUCACUCAGCUCCAAGUGAUUGUUGACGUGGGAAUGAAGGCUUAGUUUUGCCGGAAUUUUCAGAACUUGCAGUUUUUGUUUUGUUUUGAUUUUUAGGAGCUGCCUGAAAUAAGGAUUUUUUUUUUUUUUUCCAUGAAGUCCCCCCACCUCUCCACCCUCAAAAAAACAGCUGUGCCACACUGAUGUGGGUCAAACGAAACAAGUCUUUGAGCCAGAUCUGCCCUGUGACUACAGUUUAGUCUUUUGCUUUAAUCUGUUUUUCUUAGAUGUUUAUUGAGAUCUUGGUAAGUUUCAUAGCAAUGUACUUGCCUCUCUUUAACUACCGAACAAUAUCCAAGACAGUCCUGAUAUCCUGAGUUUUCUUUAGGUGACAUUUAAACCUGUACAUAAAUUUGAUUAAAAAAUACUUUGUUGGGUUAAAGAUAAGACUCCUAACAGUAUAUAUGUUACUGACACAUGGGAAGAACUAACAAAAGAAUGAUUGAUUUCGUUUCUUUAAUUCUGUUGAGUUACUACCAUAAACUUCAUCAUCUGUGUUUCUUACAGAAUUUUCUAAAUGAGCAAGAAAAGAUAUUUUGGAAGGUUCUGUGGACAUUCAAAGGUGAAAGGUGGUAAAUCUUUAUUUAAAAAAGUCUCUUCAAAAUAAAACCAUUGUCUCCAUAUUAAAUUAAUUUGUAAAAAUAUGUUUUCUAAGGCUUACCAAAGCUAACUACUGAUGAUAUGUUUUAUGCUGGAAAAAUGUGGUUACUUGCAACUCUUCAUUGUUUGUAUGAGUGAAAUCCUUCUAUUUUUUUCCCUCUAUUCUUUGGCCACGGAAAUUAAGACUAAGAACUUAAUUCUGCAAAUUAAGAAUAAUAACUUGGGAGUUCCCGUCCUCAUGGCAACACCAGAUCCCUAACCCACUGAGCGAAGCCACGUAUUGAACCUGCAUCCUCAUAGAUGCUAGUCAGAUUCGGUUCCACUGAGCCACGAUGAGAACUUCUCAGCUAACUUUUAGGGUGCUCCUUCUUCCGUUCUGCCAUGAUCUGCUUUUCGGCAUUUUUGUUUUUGUUUACAUCACACGUUCAGUCUCACAUACACAAGGAAAUAGAAUAGAGCUUUAUCUAACACUACUCUUAAGCACGGUGAUUAAGAGAAUUGGUCAAGGAGCCAAACUGCUUGUGUUUUAACAGUUCUCUCUCUAUUUCCCUGUGGCCUCAGAGAUGCUGUGUAACCUCUCCUUGCCUUAGCGUUCUUAUCUCUAAGAAGGAAGAAAUUUGUGCCUACCUUACAGGGUUAUUGGCCAGAUUGAGUGAAUGAAUCCAUGUCAAACACAAAGACAGUAUCUGGCACAUAGUAGGUUCUUCAUAAAUAUUGUUAUUGUUAUAGAUUGUCUAAGUGAGAAACACUUUAUUGUAAUGGAGUGUUUUUUUCACAAGUCAUCAAAUACACAAAAGGAAAGAAAAGAAGGGAGCUCGUCACCAAUGACUAAAUUAUUUGAGUAAAGGUUUAGGGAAUUGGUAAAUUAAGGCAUUCUCUACUUCAUUUUGGGCUUGAGUAUUAAGGCAAUACCAUAGAACCAUUUUAAUCUAAUUUUGAACCAUUUCCUCCGGGGUUUUUAAGAGUUUCAUUAAAGAAAUCUCAAAGUAAAGAUGGCUACUUUUUUUUUAACACUGAAUUUUCAAGUUCCUUAGAGUAAAGGUAAGAUCUGUGCUUUUUUUUUUUUUUUUCAUUUGAGCUUUUGAUGUCUUUUCUCUCUUAUAUCACUUCCAUUAAUGAGAAAGCCUUCCAAAUCAUGGUUUAGCCUGUCUACUUAAUUGCGUUUCUCAAGAAUAACAGGCUGUUUUAUAAUAAUUGCCUGAAUGACUAGAUUAAAAACGAAGAUGAGAACAAGUUGAAGAAUUCACUUCAGUUUGAAAAUGUGACUUCCAGUUGACCCUCGAGAAAUGUGCUGUGCAAAAUGCAUUCGCCUCGACAGAAACACUGGUCUGUGUUAGUUUGUGUAGUUAGUAUUGAAGGUAUGCCUGCAGUGGGGCAAAUAGUCUCUAGCAAUAACCAAAUUCUCAGUGAAUUUGGAAUAGAGUGGCCUGAAACAGGGACUAUGGAUACCAUAGCAGGUGGCACAUUUCUUUUAUCUUCUCUGGUGAUGCGAAGUCAGUCUUUCUCCGUCACCUCACCUAAACCUUCCUUCUCCACAGCCCCUCUACCUCUGCCUCUAAGAUGCUCAAAAGCUGGGAUGACAUUCAUAUGGCACAGAUCACUUCAUUCUGGGUUGGGCAUCAUAACACAUUUGUCCAUCAGAGGUUUGGGGAGAGCAAAUGUCAGAAAUCUCAGUCAAUUUAUCUCAAGCUAAUAGUUCAAGGGAUGGAUUAAGAGAUUUGGAAUAUGGUUUAUUGAUGCAUGACACUGGCAGGCCCAGGAAAAACUGACCUUGGAAAUCAAAGUACUCAGAUGUUGGCAUCACAUAUCCCCCUUCUUCCUCUUUGUCCCAUUUUUCUCAGCUAUGCUUCUCUGUAUUUAUUUUUUCCUACAUGACGCAAGGUUUAGAGGGGCAUAUGGUGGCAAUUAUUUUCAGACAUAUAUUACUUUAGCUUAGUUACCCAGAAGGAAGACAGUCUUUUUCUCUCAUUGAACUCAUGAAAUUCCAGGGAACAACUCUGAAUUUGCUUUGGUCUUCUGGCCAACUGUUGGCUUAGACACUGUGAAUACAGGUUCAAAGAUGUGUAACUGGCUAGGUUCUUGGCAGAAUUCAAGUAUCAGGAUUAAGAACCUUAUCACGUGAAUUGAGAAUGGGAAACCCCCCAAGGAGAGAGCAGAAAAUGGGAAUGGCACUGGGCAGACACAAGUAGCAGGUGUCCCUUACUUUUCACAAACCUGACCUUGAUUAUCUUUCACUUUUGACACCAUUGCUCUUUUUUCACCUCAACCCUCUUUGUGUAAUAGUAAUAUUUUUUAUAUUUGGGUUUUAACAUCAUUUUAUUCAUCCAUUGAGUGUAUUAAAGCAUCUGUAUCUUUGUGAUGCAGGGUAAUACAUAAUUGGGGAACACAAGUUGCUUGCUUCUUAAAGGAAACUCCAUGAUGUAUUCUUUUAUAAUGCAUAAUUAACCUUCUAGAUGAGGGUUCUUAGACCACAUUCAUCAUUAUAAUUCCCUGGAAAUUUAAGAGACAGAAAGAGAGAGAGAGACCUGGUUUAGUAUAUCAAGUUGAAGACUGGGGGUAUGAAUGAUUAAGAUGAUUUAAUGAUUAUUCCAGUUCUGUUGACAAAGUGAAAAA
rnacentral:lncRNA from 1 species